rnacentral:rRNA from 1 species
UGCCAGCAGCCGCGGUAAUACGAAGGGAGCUAGCGUUGUUCGGAAUCACUGGGCGUAAAGCGCACGUAGGCGGAUUGUUUAGUCGGGGGUGAAAUCCCGGGGCUCAACCCCGGAACUGCCUCCGAUACUGGCAAUCUGGAGUCCGGAAGAGGUGGGUGGAAUUCCUAGUGUAGAGGUGAAAUUCUUAGAUAUUAGGAAGAACACCGGUGGCGAAGGCGGCCCACUGGUCCGGUACUGACGCUGAGGUGCGAAAGCGUGGGGAGCAAACAGGAUUAGAUA